rnacentral:rRNA from 1 species
AACGAACGCUGGCGGCAGGCCUAACACAUGCAAGUCGAGCGCCCCGCAAGGGGAGCGGCGGACGGGUGAGUAACGCGUGGGAACGUACCCUUUGCUACGGAAUAGCCUCGGGAAACUGGGAGUAAUACCGUAUGUGUCCUUCGGGAGAAAGAUUUAUCGGCAAGGGAUCGGCCCGCGUUGGAUUACGUAGUUGGUGGGGUAAUGGCCUACCAAGCCGACGAUCCAUAGCUGGUUUGAGAGGAUGAUCAGCCACACUGGGACUGAGACACGGCCCAGACUCCUACGGGAGGCAGCAGUGGGGAAUCUUAGACAAUGGGCGCAAGCCUGAUCUAGCCAUGCCGCGUGAGCGAUGAAGGCCUUAGGGUUGUAAAGCUCUUUCAGGGGGGAAGAUAAUGACUGUACCCCCAGAAGAAGCCCCGGCUAACUCCGUG